AGCGAACGCUGGCGGCAGGCCUAACACAUGCAAGUCGAGCGCCCCGCAAGGGGAGCGGCAGACGGGAGAGUAACACGUGGGAACGUGCCCUUCAGUUCGGAACAACCCAGGGAAACUUGGGCUAAUACCGGAUACGUCCGUAAGGAGAAAGAUUUAUCGCUGAAGGAUCGGCCCGCGUCUGAUUAGCUAGUUGGUGGGGUAAUGGCUCACCAAGGCGACGAUCAGUAGCUGGUCUGAGAGGAUGAUCAGCCUCACUGGGACUGAGACACGGCCCAGACUCCUACGGGAGGCAGCAGUGGGGAAUAUUGGACAAUGGGCGCAAGCCUGAUCCAGCCAUGCCGCGUGGAUAAUGAAGGCCCUAGGGUUGUAAAGUCCUUUCGGCGGGGAAGAUAAUGACGGUACCCGCAGAAGAAGCCCCGGCUAACUUCGUGCCAGCAGCCGCAGUAAGAC
rnacentral:rRNA from 1 species